CCCCUAGAUGUUCUGGGCCGCACGCGCGCUACACUGAACAGUUCAACAAGUCUUAACCUUGGCCGAUAGGUCUGGGUAAUCUUUGAACGCUGUUCGUGAUUGGGAUAGACCUUUGCAAUUAUGGGUCUUCAACGAGGAAUUCCUAGUAAACGCAAGUCAUCAGCUUGCAUUGAUUACGUCCCUGCCCUUUGUACACACCGCCCGUCGCACCUACCGAUUGAAUGGUCCGGUGAAGCCUCCGGAUUGGCGCGCACCUCGGUGCCGCCGAGACGUUGGCUAAACCUUACCAUUUAGAGGAAGGUGAAGUCGUAACA
rnacentral:rRNA from 1 species